CUCUGAUUUUAUAAAUUGGAAAAAUACCCCUAAAUUUAGUGAUGACCUUCUGGCUCUGUUGAGCAUAAUCUUUGAAACUCUGUAUCAAGCUGCCUGUAGGAAGAAGCUAGCAGGCAGGACUUGGCAUUGACCGAAUAGUGGAAAUCGCAACUCUACGUAGAUAAAGAAAUGUUUUCACUACAGAGACAGAAAUCAUAUUGAAAGUGAAUGCAUUUUCAGAGAUUGCAAAGGUG